GAUACAUCCUGGUCGUCCUACAGCAUGAACUCAGCAGUCCCUCACCUCAGGGAACUGAGACUAACAACAAUAAAGGGAUCAUCGUCUGGCUUGGAAUUCCUGCAGAACCACACUAAACUAGAGAUCUUGAGUAUUGAAUAUUGCAAAGAAAUGACAGAGUUACCUGAGAGCAUCCGGAGUCUCACCUUGCUGCAGGACUUGAGUAUCCAAGGAUGCUCUACCCUUGGCCUGCUGCCCGAUUGGCUUGGUGAACUGCGCUCAUUACGAUCACUUUCUGUCAUGUGG
rnacentral:lncRNA from 1 species